CACAUGAAAGUAACUUUACUCACACUCCAUUUGCAUUCUCAUUAUCUACGAUAAUCACGAUCACGAGACUCAUAAUCACGCCUAUUUAAAAAAUACACAUCGUAUUUUGUAGCCUUCGUAAAAGUGUUUACCUUCCACCUUUCAAUCCUAUAAACCCUAAAACUUUUUCUUUACCUUCUUCUUCAACACCAACUUCAAUAUAUAUAAUAUAAGUGUCAUCCCCAC
rnacentral:lncRNA from 1 species